AGGACGAACGCUGGCGGCGUGCUUAACACAUGCAAGUCGAGCGGAAAGGCCCUUCGGGGUACUCGAGCGGCGAACGGGUGAGUAACACGUGAGCAAUCUGCCCUUAGCUUCGGGAUAGCUCCGGGAAACCGGAAUUAAUACCGGAUAUGACUAUGGCUGACAUCAGCCACGGUGGAAAGUUUUCGGCUAGGGAUGAGCUCGCGGCCUAUCAGCUAGUUGGUGGGGUAACGCCUACCAAGGCGACGACGGGUA
rnacentral:rRNA from 1 species